AACGAACGCUGGCGGCGUGCCUAACACAUGCAAGUCGAACGGAGUUAUAUGAAGUUUUCGGACGGAAUAUAACUUAGUGGCGGACGGGUGAGUAACGCGUGGGUAACCUGCCUCAUACAGGGGGAUAACAGUUGGAAACGGCUGCUAAAACCGCAUAAGCAUACAUUGCCGCAUGGCAGAGUGUGAAAAUAUUUAUAGGUAUGAGAUGGGCCCGCGUCUGAUUAGCUAGUUGGUGGGGUAAAGGCCUACCAAGGCGACGGUCAGUAGCCGGCUUGAGAGAGUGGCCGGCCACAUUGGGACUGAGACACGGCCCAAACUCCUACGGGAGGCCGCAGUGGGGAAUAUUGCACAAUGGGGGAAACCUUGAUGCAGCGACGCCGCGUGAGUGAAGAAGUAUUUCGGUAUGUAAAGCUCUAUCAGCAGGGAAGAAAAUGACGGUACCUGACUAAGAAGCCCCGGCUAACUACGUGCCAGCCGCCGCCGUAA
rnacentral:rRNA from 1 species